rnacentral:rRNA from 5 species
CGUUCGAGACCAGGACGUUGAUAGGCUGGGUGUGGAAGUGCAGUAAUGCAUUAAGCUAACCAGUACUAAUUGCCCGUAAGGCUUGUCCC